rnacentral:rRNA from 1 species
UUUUAUGGAGAGUUUGAUCCUGGCUCAGGAUGAACGCUGGCGGCGUGCCUAAUACAUGCAAGUCGAGCGAACAGACGAGGAGCUUGCUCCUCUGACGUUAGCGGCGGACGGGUGAGUAACACGUGGAUAACCUACCUAUAAGACUGGGAUAACUUCGGGAAACCGAGCUAAUACCGG